ACCCUUUACCAAGUUCUUCACAACAGGGGUUCAAGCCUUUUUCCACCCAGCAAUUGGGCUAGCUGUAGAAAAUUUUAACUCUAUUCCCAGCAUAUUAUAUUUCUAGAAUAUGAUAAUAUGUUGACGAGAACAUGACACAGACAAAUAAAGAAAUGAAUAUCAGUGUGGUGGUAUGAACUCCAACUCAGAAUUUAGCCAAGGUCACAACAAAAGUUGAAAGGGAGAUGGAGAGAGAUGAUGACGAGGAGGGUGAUAGAAGAUGACAAUAUAAGGAUAAGGAUAAUAAUGAUGAAGAUGGCGAAGCGCACGGUGAUGACAGAUUGGUGAUGAUGAAAUUACAGUUAUGAAGCGCCAUUAGCGGCGUCUAUCUUGAUUAUAAUAAGUCUACAAUGAAAAGAAUAUAAUUACCACAUAACGGAAUAUACACGCAACAGAUUCUAUUGAGAGCCUGAUUACCUAUCAUGUCCAGUGCCCUGCCCUCUUUGCAUAAACUCAAGAUUGCAUUGAAAUAUCUUUAUACUCAUCAAGAAGCCCC
rnacentral:lncRNA from 1 species